rnacentral:rRNA from 1 species
AGUGAACGCUGGCGGUAGGCCUAACACAUGCAAGUCGAACGGCAGCACAGUAAGAGCUUGCUCUUACGGGUGGCGAGUGGCGGACGGGUGAGGAAUACAUCGGAAUCUACUUUUUCGUGGGGGAUAACGUAGGGAAACUUACGCUAAUACCGCAUACGACCUACGGGUGAACGCAGGGGAUCUUCGGACCUUGCGCGAUUGAAUGAGCCGAUGUCGGAUUAGCUAGUUGGCGGGGUAAAGGCCCACCAAGGCGACGAUCCGUAGCUGGUCUGAGAGGAUGAUCAGCCACACUGGAACUGAGACACGGUCCAGACUCCUACGGGAGGCAGCAGUGGGGAAUAUUGGACAAUGGGCGCAAGCCUGAUCCAGCCAUACCGCGUGGGUGAAGAAGGCCUUCGGGUUGUAAAGCCCUUUUGUUGGGAAAGAAAAGCAGCAGGUUAAUACCCCGCUGUUCUGACGGUACCCAAAGAAUAAGCACCGGCUAACUUCGUG